AGCAACCUGCCCCUGACUCUGGGAUAAGCGCUGGAAACGGCGUCUAAUACUGGAUAUGUGACGUGACCGCAUGGUCUGCGUUUGGAAAGAUUUUUCGGUUGGGGAUGGGCUCGCGGCCUAUCAGCUUGUUGGUGAGGUAAUGGCUCACCAAGGCGUCGACGGGUAGCCGGCCUGAGAGGGUGACCGGCCACACUGGGACUGAGACACGGCCCAGACUCCUACGGGAGGCAGCAGUGGGGAAUAUUGCACAAUGGGCGAAAGCCUGAUGCAGCAACGCCGCGUGAGGGAUGACGGCCUUCGGGUUGUAAACCUCUUUUAGCAGGGAAGAAGCGAAAGUGACGGUACCUGCAGAAAAAGCGCCGGCUAACUACGUGCCAGCAGCCGCGGUAAUACGUAGGGCGCAAGCGUUAUCCGGAAUUAUUGGGCGUAAAGAGCUCGUAGGCGGUUUGUCGCGUCUGCUGUGAAAUCCCGAGGCUCAACCUCGGGCCUGCAGUGGGUACGGGCAGACUAGAGUGCGGUAGGGGAGNUUGGAAUUCCUGGUGUAGCGGUGGAAUGCGCAGAUAUCAGGAGGAACACCGAUGGCGAAGGCAGAUCUCUGGGCCGUAACUGACGCUGAGGAGCGAAAGGGUGGGGAGCAAACAGGCUUAGAUACCCUGGUAGUCCACCCCGUAAACGUUGGGAACUAGUUGUGGGGUCCAUUCCACGGAUUCCGUGACGCAGCUAACGCAUUAAGUUCCCCGCCUGGGGAGUACGGCCGCAAGGCUAAAACUCAAAGGAAUUGACGGGGACCCGCACAAGCGGCGGAGCAUGCGGAUUAAUUCGAUGCAACGCGAAGAACCUUACCAAGGCUUGACAUAUACGAGAACGGGCCAGAAAUGGUCAACUCUUUGGACACUCGUAAACAGGUGGUGCAUGGUUGUCGUCAGCUCGUGUCGUGAGAUGUUGGGUUAAGUCCCGCAACGAGCGCAACCCUCGUUCUAUGUUGCCAGCACGUAAUGGUGGGAACUCAUGGGAUACUGCCGGGGUCAACUCGGAGGAAGGUGGGGAUGACGUCAAAUCAUCAUGCCCCUUAUGUCUUGGGCUUCACGCAUGCUACAAUGGCCGGUACAAAGGGCUGCAAUACCGUGAGGUGGAGCGAAUCCCAAAAAGCCGGUCCCAGUUCGGAUUGAGGUCUGCAACUCGACCUCAUGAAGUCGGAGUCGCUAGUAAUCGCAGAUCAGCAACGCUGCGGUGAAUACGUUCCCGGGUCUUGUACACACCGCCCGUCAAGUCAUGAAAGUCGGUAACACCUG
rnacentral:rRNA from 1 species